AACGAACGCUGGCGGCAUGCCUAACACAUGCAAGUCGAACGAUCCCUUCGGGGAUAGUGGCGCACGGGUGCGUAACGCGUGGGAACCUGUCCUUAGGUUCGGAAUAACUCAGAGAAAUUUGAGCUAAUACCGGAUAAUGUCUUCGGACCAAAGAUUUAUCGCCUUUGGAUGGGCCCGCGUUGGAUUAGCUAGUUGGUGAGGUAAAGGCCUACCAAGGCGACGAUCCAUAGCUGGUCUGAGAGGAUGAUCAGCCACACUGGGACUGAGACACGGCCCAGACUCCUACGGGAGGCAGCAGUGGGGAAUAUUGGACAAUGGGCGAAAGCCUGAUCCAGCAAUGCCGCGUGAGUGAUGAAGGCCUUAGGGUUGUAAAGCUCUUUUACCCGGGAUGAUAAUGACAGUACCGGGAGAAUAAGCCCCGGCUAACUCCGUG
rnacentral:rRNA from 1 species